rnacentral:rRNA from 1 species
UACGUAGGGUGCGAGCGUUAAUCGGAAUUACUGGGCGUAAAGCGUGCGCAGGCGGUUUGUUAAGACAGAUGUGAAAUCCCCGGGCUUAACCUGGGAACUGCGUUUGAAACUACAAGGCUAGAGUGUGGCAGAGGGGGGGUGGAAUUCCACGUGUAGCAGUGAAAUGCGUAGAGAUGUGGAGGAACACCGAUGGCGAAGGCAGCCC